AUGCUCGCUUUGGCAGCACAUGCCCUAAAACUGAAACAGUACAGAGAAGAUCAACAUGGCCCCUGCACAAGGGUGACAGGCACAUUCGCCAAGCGUUCCAUAUUUUU